rnacentral:rRNA from 1 species
UACAGAGGGGGCGAGCGUUGUUCGGAAUUACUGGGCGUAAAGCGCGUGUAGGCGGCUCUUCAAGUCAGGCGUGAAAGCCCCGGGCUCAACCCGGGAACUGCGCUUGAUACUGUCGAGCUAGAGUGUGGAAGGGGCGAUUGGAAUUCCGUGUGUAGCGGUGAAAUGCGUAGAUAUUGGGAGGAACACCAGUGGCGAAGGCGGCUCACUGGACCGGAACUGACGCUGAGGCGCGAAAGCGUGGGGAGCAAACAGG